rnacentral:rRNA from 1 species
UUAAGCGACUAAGCGUACACGGUGGAUGCCCUGGCAGUCAGAGGCGAUGAAGGACGUGCUAAUCUGCGAUAAGCGUCGGUAAGGUGAUAUGAACCGUUAUAACCGGCGAUUUCCGAAUGGGGAAACCCAGUGUGAUUCGUCACACUAUCAUUAACUGAAUCCAUAGGUUAAUGAGGCGAACCGGGGGAACUGAAACAUCUAAGUACCCCGAGGAAAAGAAAUCAACCGAGAUUCCCUCAGUAGCGGCGAGCGAACGGGGAGCAGCCCAGAGCCUGAAUCAGUGUGUGUGUUAGUGGAAGCGUCUGGAAAGGCGUGCGAUACAGGGUGACAGCCCCGUACACAAAAAUGCACAUACUGUGAGCUCGAUGAGUAGGGCGGGACACGUGGUAUCCUGUCUGAAUAUGGGGGGACCAUCCUCCAAGGCUAAUACUCCUGACUGACCGAUAGUGAACCAGUACCGUGAGGGAAAGGCGAAAAGAACCCCGGCGAGGGGAGUGAAAAAGAACCUGAAACCGUGUACGUACAAGCAGUGGGAGCACGCUUAGGCGUGUGACUGCGUACCUUUUGUAUAAUGGGUCAGCGACUUAUAUUCUGUAGCAAGGUUAACCGAAUAGGGGAGCCGAAGGGAAACCGAGUCUUAACUGGGCGUUAAGUUGCAGGGUAUAGACCCGAAACCCGGUGAUCUAGCCAUGGGCAGGUUGAAGGUUGGGUAACACUAACUGGAGGACCGAACCGACUAAUGUUGAAAAAUUAGCGGAUGACUUGUGGCUGGGGGUGAAAGGCCAAUCAAACCGGGAGAUAGCUGGUUCUCCCCGAAAGCUAUUUAGGUAGCGCCUCGUGAAUUCAUCUCCGGGGGUAGAGCACUGUUUCGGCAAGGGGGUCAUCCCGACUUACCAACCCGAUGCAAACUGCGAAUACCGGAGAAUGUUAUCACGGGAGACACACGGCGGGUGCUAACGUCCGUCGUGAAGAGGGAAACAACCCAGACCGCCAGCUAAGGUCCCAAAGUCAUGGUUAAGUGGGAAACGAUGUGGGAAGGCCCAGACAGCCAGGAUGUUGGCUUAGAAGCAGCCAUCAUUUAAAGAAAGCGUAAUAGCUCACUGGUCGAGUCGGCCUGCGCGGAAGAUGUAACGGGGCUAAACCAUGCACCGAAGCUGCGGCAGCGACGCUUAUGCGUUGUUGGGUAGGGGAGCGUUCUGUAAGCCUGUGAAGGUGUACUGUGAGAUAUGCUGGAGGUAUCAGAAGUGCGAAUGCUGACAUAAGUAACGAUAAAGCGGGUGAAAAGCCCGCUCGCCGGAAGACCAAGGGUUCCCGUCCAACGUUAAUCGGGGCAGGGUGAGUCGACCCCUAAGGCGAGGCCGAAAGGCGUAGUCGAUGGGAAACAGGUUAAUAUUCCUGUACUUGGUGUUACUGCGAAGGGGGGACGGAGAAGGCUAUGUUGGCCGGGCGACGGUUGUCCCGGUUUAAGCGUGUAGGCUGGUUUUCCAGGCAAAUCCGGAAAAUCAAGGCCGAGGCGUGAUGACGAGGCACUACGGUGCUGAAGCAACAAAUGCCCUGCUUCCAGGAAAAGCCUCUAAGCAUCAGGUAACAUCAAAUCGUACCCCAAACCGACACAGGUGGUCAGGUAGAGAAUACCAAGGCGCUUGAGAGAACUCGGGUGAAGGAACUAGGCAAAAUGGUGCCGUAACUUCGGGAGAAGGCACGCUGAUACGUAGGUGAAGCGACUUGCUCGUGGAGCUGAAAUCAGUCGAAGAUACCAGCUGGCUGCAACUGUUUAUUAAAAACACAGCACUGUGCAAACACGAAAGUGGACGUAUACGGUGUGACGCCUGCCCGGUGCCGGAAGGUUAAUUGAUGGGGUUAGCGCAAGCGAAGCUCUUGAUCGAAGCCCCGGUAAACGGCGGCCGUAACUAUAACGGUCCUAAGGUAGCGAAAUUCCUUGUCGGGUAAGUUCCGACCUGCACGAAUGGCGUAAUGAUGGCCAGGCUGUCUCCACCCGAGACUCAGUGAAAUUGAACUCGCUGUGAAGAUGCAGUGUACCCGCGGCAAGACGGAAAGACCCCGUGAACCUUUACUAUAGCUUGACACUGAACAUUGAGCCUUGAUGUGUAGGAUAGGUGGGAGGCUUUGAAGUGUGGACGCCAGUCUGCAUGGAGCCGACCUUGAAAUACCACCCUUUAAUGUUUGAUGUUCUAACGUGGACCCGUGAUCCGGGUUGCGGACAGUGUCUGGUGGGUAGUUUGACUGGGGCGGUCUCCUCCUAAAGAGUAACGGAGGAGCACGAAGGUUGGCUAAUCCUGGUCGGACAUCAGGAGGUUAGUGCAAUGGCAUAAGCCAGCUUGACUGCGAGCGUGACGGCGCGAGCAGGUGCGAAAGCAGGUCAUAGUGAUCCGGUGGUUCUGAAUGGAAGGGCCAUCGCUCAACGGAUAAAAGGUACUCCGGGGAUAACAGGCUGAUACCGCCCAAGAGUUCAUAUCGACGGCGGUGUUUGGCACCUCGAUGUCGGCUCAUCACAUCCUGGGGCUGAAGUAGGUCCCAAGGGUAUGGCUGUUCGCCAUUUAAAGUGGUACGCGAGCUGGGUUUAGAACGUCGUGAGACAGUUCGGUCCCUAUCUGCCGUGGGCGCUGGAGAACUGAGGGGGGCUGCUCCUAGUACGAGAGGACCGGAGUGGACGCAUCACUGGUGUUCGGGUUGUCAUGCCAAUGGCACUGCCCGGUAGCUAAAUGCGGAAGAGAUAAGUGCUGAAAGCAUCUAAGCACGAAACUUGCCCCGAGAU